UCCCUUAGUAACGGCGAGUGAAGAGGGAUGAGCCCAGCACCGAAGCCUGCGGCAGAUUUGCUGUUAGGCAAUGUGGUGUGCGGGUCGGCUAGCGGGACCGUAACUCCACUCGAAGUCCAGCAUUGAGUAUGGUUAUCAUUGGAUUUGGCCCAUAGAGGGUGAGAGGCCCGUACGGGUGGAGGUUCAGACAAGUAAAACGGUUCACCAGGUCGACCUUAGAGUCGGGUUGUUUGAGAUUGCAGCCCAAAGUGGGUGGUAAACUCCAUCCAAGGCUAAAUACGGGCACGAGUCCGAUAGCGAACAAGUACCGUGAGGGAAAGUUGAAAAGUACUCUGAAGAGAGAGUAAAUAGUACGUGAAACCGCAUGCAGGUAAACGGGUGGCGUCAAACCGCGAGCCUGGAGGAUUCAGCUGGCUGGGUUGUAUUUUGGCCGGAAUAAGAUGUAGUGGUCUGCUCUCUCUUAGUGAGAGCGGGGCGACGUAUGAGGUGUGUAGGUGUGUGUGUUGCGCGUGUGUUAGCUUUAGCUUUCACUUGCUGUAACGCCUACCUGUAACGCCUCUUCUUAGCUAUAUGUGCCGGGUGGGUGCCGGGGUAUGCCACUCAUCUGUAGGGUCGCCUAGUCAGUGCAAUUUCUCCAUGGUGAACAUCACGACCGAUGGUAUUGCCAGUCCAUCGUAGUCAAGUCGUGUCGAUCUAAUCUGUUGCCUCUUAAUCGUAUGAUGAGGAGUCAAUAAUAAGGAUUAGUGGGCGUGAUCGCAGUGGAGCGAGUAAACGGCGUAGUGGUGCCUUCGGUGCUGCUACGUGUUAUCGUGUACUCACCGCCAACGAGUAAUUGUAUUGUGCUGUGACCGCACUAAUAAUUGCUUGGCGGAUUGCGGUGGUAAAAAUGACUGUGCAAGGCAUCGGAUUUGUCCACCUCACAUAUAUUCUCAUUUGGCUAAUUUAUUAGCUGAGUGAUGGUAUAUAUAUGUAUGUAUCCGGCAGGCACGUCACAGGUGCCAAUAUAAAUGGGGCGCGUUACCGUGUGUAGGCAUUAUGCGUGAUUGUCGUUUUGCCUACAAAAAAGUAGGUGCGGCAGUGGUGUAGUGUAUUUUUUUUUACUAACAUGCGGUAUUACGCUGUCUCAAUUGCAUGUGAUACUGGGGGUGAAAUAGUCAGUGGUGCUGUGGUAGACGAGCUACCCGACCCGUCUCGAAACACGGACCAAGGAGUUUAACAUGUGUGCGAGUCAAAGGGCUAUACGAAACCCCGAGGCGUAGUGAAAGUAAAAAUUGUACUACAUACUAACCAUGUGUAGUAUAAUGAGGUGAGAUCCCAUUGUUUGUGUGUGUAUAUGUGUGUGUGUGUGUGUAUAUACACAUAUGUGUAAAUGCAUAUACGUUAUAUAUAUAUUAGAGCAAUGGGCGCAUCACCGGCCCGUCCCAUGAUGUGGUCAUUGGCAUUGAUAUUAGUGUGUGUAUGUAUGCUGUCAUUUUUAUGAUAGUGUAUAUAUAUGUAUUAGUGUCAGCUAAUGCGUCAUCGGGGCGGAGCAUGAGCACACACGUUGAGACCCGAAAGAUGGUGAACUAUGCUUGCGUAGGUUGAAGCCAGAGGAAACUCUGGUGGAGGACCGUAGCGAUUCUGACGUGCAAAUCGAUCGUCAAACGUGAGUAUAGGGGCGAAAGACUAAUCGAACCAUCUAGUAGCUGGUUCCCUCCGAAGUUUCCCUCAGGAUAGCUGGCACUCAUUAGCAUAAUCAGUUUUAUCCGGUAAAGCGAAUGAUUAGAGGUGGUGGGUUCGAAACGAGCUCAACCUAUUCUCAAACUUUAAAUGGGUGAGAUGCCUG
rnacentral:rRNA from 1 species